ACUCCUACGGGAGGCAGCAGUGGGGAAUAUUGCACAAUGGGGGAAACCCUGAUGCAGCCAUGCCGCGUGUGUGAAGAAGGCCUUCGGGUUGUAAAGCACUUUCAGUAGGGAGGAAGGUAGUGUAGUUAACACCUGCAUUAUUUUGACGUUACCUACAGAAGAAGCACCGGCUAACUCCGUGCCAGCAGCCGCGGUAAUACGGAGGGUGCGAGCGUUAAUCGGAAUUACUGGGCGUAAAGCGUCUGUAGGCGGCUUAUUAAGUCGGAUGUGAAAUCCCAGGGCUUAACCUUGGAACUGCAUUCGAUACUGGUAAGCUAGAGUGUGUAAGAGGGAUANUGGAAUUCCAGGUGUAGCGGUGAAAAUGCGUAGAUAUCUGGAGGAAC
rnacentral:rRNA from 1 species